AUUCCCUUUGCUAACUCCAGGGGCCUCAGAUAUAGUGUGGUGCCCUGGCAUUAUACAGGGAUAGAUUUAAAGGCUUUCCUCCCUCCCUGACUGGACUUGUAUUCCUUUUGGGGCCUAUAUGUGAGCCAACAGA